GAUGAAGAACAUAGCGAAAUGCGAUAAGUAGUGUGAAUUGCAGAAUUCAGUGAAUCAUCGAAUCUUUGAACGCACAUUGCGCCCCUUGGUAUUCCAUGGGGCAUGCCUGUUCGAGCGUCAUUUGUACCUUCAAGCUCUGCUUGGUGUUGGGUGUUUGUCUCGCCUCUGCGCGCAGACUCGCCUCAAAACGAUUGGCAGCCGGCGUAUUGAUUUCGGAGCGCAGUACAUCUCGCGCUUUGACAACAAAACGACGACGUCCAAAAAGUACAUUUUUUACACUCUUGACCUCGGAUCAGGUAGGGAUACCCGCUGAACUUAAGCAUAUCAAUAAGCGGAGGA
rnacentral:misc_RNA from 1 species